GUUGGCGACCACACCACGUUGAAAGCACCAGUUUUCAUCCGAUCACCGAAGUUAAGUAACACUGGGCCCGGUUAGUACUUGCAUGGGUGACCGGCUGGAAAUACCGGGUGUUGCGGCUU
rnacentral:rRNA from 1 species